rnacentral:rRNA from 1 species
GCACAAGCGGUGGAUGAUGUGGUUAAUUCGAUGCAACGCGAAAACCUUACCACCUUUGACAUGUACGGAAUCCUUUAGAGAUAGAGGAGUGCUCGAAAGAGAACCGUAACACAGGUGCUGCAUGGUUGUCGUCAGCUCGUGUCGUGAGAUGUAAGGUUAAGUCCUUGAACGAGCGCAACCCCUUUCGUCAGUUGCAAACCAGCAAUGGCGCACCCUGACGAUACUGCCAGCUAAAAGUUGGAGGAAGGAGGGGAUGACGUCAAAUCCUCAUGGCCUUUAUGUCCAGGGCUACACACAUGCGACAAUGGUCGGUACAACGGGUUGCAACACCGCGAGGUGAAGCCAAUCCCUAAAAACCGGCCUCAGUUCAGAUUGCAGACUGCAAUUCGUCUACAUGAAGAUGGAGUUGCUAGUAACCGCGGGUCAGCCAUACUGCGUUGAAUACGUUCCCGGGGCUU